CAUUCUUCUCCCAUCUUCCUUCUUCUCCUCCUUCUUUCUGAUCUCCUAUGUUUUUCCUUGUUUUGUUUUUGCUGAUUUCAUCACUAGGUAAGAAUAAAAAGAAGAGGAAAAUAAAAAUAUAUAUAUAAUAAUGAUAAUAACACAAAUUCAUUACCAAAAAUAUGAGAUUUAUGUCAUUUUACAAUGUAUAAACCAUUAUUCAUCAUCUUCUUCAUUUGCCCCUUUUUCCCAAAACCCUUACAUUUUCGAAAACCCCAAUCAUCUUCCUUUCAUUCUUGAUUUCGAAGCAAACUAGCAACCAAAAAUACCAUCUCAUUCUGUCCCGGUUUCAAAUUGUAGUUAACCGCAUUUUCUCUCAUCUUUUUUGAAUUUCGAGAGUGCUUUUGGCAAAUACAAGAACCAAUAUCUAAUUUCUUGGGUUGAUUUCUUUGGUGUAAGACUGGGUCAGUGUAGGUGCAAGUUGAGGCAACAUCUCAAGGCUGAAUUCUUGCAGUCUCUUUCUGGAACUUUCGAAAGAACCAAAUAUUAAUAUUUCCUCCAGUUUCCUAUGAUUUCUCGGCCAAUCAACAGCAACUUCCUUCGUUUCGGUUGCCACUGGUUUCAAAGUGGAAACGAUUUCGAUAAGGAUCUUCUUGUUGAUAGCUAUGGUUUGGACUCAACUCGUUAAAGCAACGUUGUAGAUUGUUUACAGAUCGAAACCGGUCAGGAAUAAUGGGUUAGCGGUGAUGAUUAGAGUUACAAGGAUGUUAUAUUGAGCUGAAUUCGUGAGAAGUUGUAGUAUUGUAUUAGGUUUUUGAUAAGUGUAUAUUAGACUUGGUUAUGUUGGCUAUAUUGGAGUUUUAGAACGACUUUUAUGAUUACUUUGUAUUUUAGUUAGAUGAUUAGUUUGAAAAUUAGCUGAUUUAGCUAUGUUUUAGAACUGGUGGCCUCUUUUGCUCAAGUUUUGGAAUUGAAAUUUAAGUUUCUUGGGAAAUAAAUCUCGUGAUGACCCUGUUUACUCAGUCAAUAGUAAGUCGGGUUGUUACAGUAUCAGACUAGCUUUUUUCCUAAUAUGUUUCUCUUUUUCUUUCUCUUCCUCCUCAUUUACCGCUGCUGUUGGUCCUUUUUUGUAUUUUUUAUUUGUGCUUCAUGUUUUCCCUUCUUAUUCAACCCUUAAUAAUGUUUGAAACGACUUUUCAUAUUGAUUUCACACAAUAUUCAACCUUUGUGUAUUACAUACAUCCUUCAGAUCAUGAUAACCUAAAACUUGUCAGUAUUGUUUUUGAUGGAAUUGGAUUUGGAGACUGAAAACAAUUCAUGAUGAUAGGUCUUAUUGCAAAGAAUAAGUUGUAUUUUGUAGAUGAAACACUUCCUAAACUAUUAAAAGAUGAUGUUAACAAGAAGACAAGGUAAAGGUGCAAUAAUUUGGAGUGAUCUUGAAAAAUGAUUUAGUACUUUUACCUCUACACAAAUUAAUCCUUUUCGUGAAGAACUUUCUAAACUCUCGCAAUAAAACAAUAUCAGCAGUACUCAUACUUUACCAUUAAAGUUUCUUCUUUGACGUUUUAUUUUUCUUAUCAAUUCUCAAGACCUGAAGCCAAUAACUGAUACACUACAAUCAAGAUUUCUCCUACUGUUCUUCUCUUUCAUUUCAUUUAUUCUUUCGUUAAUCCUUCUAAUUUCCAAUUCACAUCUCUGCAUUGCAUUAUUCUUUCAAAUUUUCAAACUUUAAAAUUAAACAUUCAAGAAUAUUUCUUCUCCAUAAUUAUGUUGUCUGCAUGCUGUCAUUCUUCUAAACUCUUUAUUUAUUUGGUAAUUUUUUCUCCUUUAUUUUAACAUUCUUUAAUGAAGAGACAUCUUUAAUUCAACGAUUAAAUUCAAUUUAUAUUAACCUUUUUUUAUAAAUUGGUGAAGGAAUUAAGGCUUUGCUAGACUGCUUUAGGAUAAGAUUAGGCUUCUCAAUGAAGGUGGGAUUGCCAUUGAUGGCAAAAGGGCCAACGGCCCAUUUGGUUGAUGGUAAUGAAGUAAUGGGAAUGAAAUGUUGUAAUGGCAAUAGUAAUGGAGAAAUGGAUAUGAGAAUCGGUAAUGAAGAUUCUUUUGUUUAGUGUGCAUGACUAAAGAAUGGUAAUGGAAGAUAAUAUUCCAUUGAUUGCAUUUGGUUGUUAGUAAUAAAAAAUGAUAAUGACUCUUAGUUUCAUUAUUGUAUAUUUAUAUCUAAAAGCAUUAUUUUAUCUAAAUUAUUCUAUUUAAUGAUUCUUUUUUUAAUAAUAAUAUUUUUUUGGAUAAUUACAUACGUUACCUUUUUUUUCUUUAUUAUUUUUUUUCUUCAACUCGAAACAACAUUACCUUAUUUUAUUACCACAGUAAUACUUCAUUACCAUUAUAGCCUAAUACCAGGUUGUUUGAUGGUAAUAAAAAUGACCCUUUUUGGUAAUUUCAUUACCUUAUUUUAUUACCAUCCAUUACCAUUGAAGGCAUCCAAACAACCAAAAUUUUUAUUACUUAAUUUUAUUACCAUUACCGCCCUUUAAUACCAUGUACCAAACGGGCCGUAAAAGCUACUUUAGAAGGUUUUGAUCUGUUUCUUUAUUCGAAUUCUCUCUAAUGCUUUUUUGUGAAGGAACUAAAAAUAUAUUAAAUUGAUUAAUUUAUGUAUUGCUACAAUAUAAACUAAAAUUAUAGAGGGUACUUUGGGUUUGAAGUAUUUUUAAUGAACUCAUAGAAUGAUCAAUAUUUACAAGUAUAAAUUAAGAAUGUUCCUCAAUUGUAAACUGAUAUAUGCAGUAGUGUUGUUUUUACUAAUGAUGAGUGCUUACUUCAAGUCUAUUGAAAGUCAAAAAUUCUUGGUAGAUUGUGAGAUGGACUCUAUUAUGUUGAUGUUCCAUCAUUUACAUUACAAAAUCCUCAAUAAAAUUCAACUUGUUAAGCUACACGGCCUUCCAAACAAUAUACAAAAAAUGUUGAUCUAACUAAAUUAUAGCAUCUUACACUAGGUCAUUUACCAUUUUCACUAAUGAAACUUUUAUUUUCUGAUCUUCAUGUAAAUAAAGUGCAUAAAUCCACUAUAUAUACUAUUUUCCUUGCUACAAGGCAAACUAGAAAACCUUUUCUUUCUAGUUCUCUCAAGACAUCCAAAUCUUUUCAAUUACUACAAAUAGAUGAAAUGGGGCCCUUACAAAUAUGUAACUCAUGAUGGUUAUAGUUUCUUCUUGACAAUUGUGGAUGAUUAUACUAUAGCAACAUAGAUUUACCAAAUGAAAACUAAAGAUCAAUCUACUUUCAACAAGCAGUUUUAUGCCUAUGUUGAAACACAAUUACAUUGCUCAAUGAAAACCAUUCGAAGUUAUAAUGCUAGGGAACUUUGUGAAGAUGAAGCGUUACAUUAUUCUCAACCUUGACGACCCCAUUGAGAUGUUGGGCAACAUCUUGGUUGCUAUUGCCUUGGGAUUAGCUCUCCCUUGUGUAUUCUAUAAAAAAGAUUAGUGAAGCGAACUGCUUAGUCCAGGCAACGAUUUAGUCAAGUGAAGCGUGGAUAACUGGAUAAGUCAUAGCACUCAAGUGGAUUAUACAAGAAUGGAAGUUAAAUCUAGAGCCUUUGUAUGCUAGGUUGAUUGUGUUUAUGAUUGAUUGGUUGGUUUAAAUUAAUUUUUAUCUCUAACGUGUACUAUGUUUUGUUACACCUGCGAUUAUGUUGUCAUUCGACGACUAGCAGAGCAAUUACAUGUCCCUACAGAUGUGAGGACAACUAUAUCAUCAAGAAUACCUUUCCUUUUGAGCUACGUGAACAAGACCACUUAACAUGGUUCAUCCCUAGUAUGCUCCCAAACUUGUAACUUGGUCAGCUAAGUAAGGUUAAGAAAUGUUUAUUUUUAU